rnacentral:misc_RNA from 1 species
AAAAUUUGCCCUGUGAAUUGGACUGCUUGGGUGCGUUCCGUAGGGGGACCGCGGUCCUUUUUGGCCAUAAUCAGAGUGGAUCCAUAAAAAUUAAAAAUCUCCCUAGGAAUCCCUAAAAAAUAACCAGUCUCAUGUAUACUUUUUUUUACACCUUUCUAUGUAUGUAUUGUUAAUGUUGUGGAUGUGGUGCUUACUGAAUUUUGUACUGAAUAAAAUUAUUAAAACAAUAAAUUUGUUAAUAACAGUUAACAAAAUGAAAAGAAAAAUUCCACUUCAAACACAUUAUCUAUUGACUGAUGUCGGUAGUAAUUGUUGUUUUUGUUGAAAAUGAACAGCAACAUCAGCCAGUUUAAGAUCUUGAAAGAUAACAAAAAUAUAAGUGCUGUCCUAACCUUACAUUUGAGUUAUGAUAGGUUUUGAAGCAUUAACUUUGAAAAGAAAUACAAUUUACAGGCUAAAUAAUUGAGAUAACAACAAUAUACACCGACUAUUUUAAUUGACAAUUUUUUUUUUGAUGCCAAAUUAUUUUUUUCUUUAUAAUUCGUUAAUCAUAUUUUUCGGUGUUUACGUUUGCUUAUGUUUGUUUACGUUUUCUAAUACAUAGCAGUGCUGACACUACAACGAAAUUAAAUUCACCAUGAUAAACCACGCCUAUUUUUGGUAGACCGCGGUCCUCUACGGAACGCACCCCUACAGACCUUGCUUGUGAACAGUUGUGGAUUGUUUGUGGAUUGAUUGUCCUCACAUUUUAUAAUCAUAUUAACGUUGGUAAUCGAAAUUAUGAGUAGUAAAACGAGUGAGUUAUCAGCUAAUAACAAUUCCAGUUCUUUACACUCAUAACAAGUUUGCAAACUAAUUAACGUUGACUAGAAACAAUAAAACUUUAUGUCUAACGUAACCUAGUAUUUAUUAUUUGUCAACAUUUAUCAAAUCAGUUUUUAUUUAGAAAUAAAAGACAUUCCAAAAAAUAUUUCAUUUUCAUGUGAAGUAUCUGAGUUAAGUAUGGGCAAUGAAGAAAUUAAUAACGGAAAUGUUGAAACAUGGAAUAAUGCGAUAACUGUAUUGGAUUAUAAAAAUAAAAGAGAAAAUAAAUUUUUGAAUGUGUCAAAUGACAACAAUGUUAUUCAAGUGGAAAAUAUCAAUAAGUUUUCGUCGAGUCAGGUUGAUGAUAAACAGGAGCUAAGUGUAAGAGAUGAUAAUCCCGAUAUUACUGUCUUGGAAGAGCCUGAAAAAUCUCCUGAUUUCAUAACUCUUCCAUCGUUAUCAAAAAAAAAAGAUGAUACUCGAAGGAAAAUAAACAAAUCCCCUCAAGAAAUUUAUCAAGAACGACUUAAUGCAAAAGUUAAAGUUGUUAAAAAGAAAUUUACGAAACUAGCAAGAGUAUUGUACAAAAGUUAUCCAAUUUACGAGAACUGGUUAAAACGUGUUGAAGCAACAACAGGUGAUUCUGUUUGUAAAAUUGAACCACCAAAGCAAUGCCCUCCAGAACGUGCUCAAACUAAUCGUUGGAAAUUUGUUUGCAUAAGAAAACUCGAUGAAUCAUCAGAAUGCAAAUUGGGUCGUCAAAAUACCAAUAUAACUGUAAAUAAUAAAACAAUUAUCAAAACAGUUUGGAGAUUGGGCCCAAGUGAAGACUCGGUUGUUAAUGCAAAUAACAUAUUUAAAUCGUAUCCGCCAUUUGUCAUGCGCGCUGCAAAGAUGUUUGAAGAUUUCAUCAAUGGGUUUUUACCAUUAAAAGAUCAAACUAAUGAUGAAAUAACACAUUGUGAUGAUCAAAAAAAUCAAUGGUUAUUUUUAUUGGUACGUGCUAAUAGUAAAAAAGAAUUAUUACUAUUUGCAACUGGCAAAGAGGUCAGUAAUUCAUCAAUGGAUGGAUUAAAAAGAUUAUAUGAUACUGACGUCGGAAAAGAUUGUAACGUUAAAUCUUUGUACUGCAAAUCAAUAACAAAUACUAGUAAUAAUUUAACAUUAACAACAACAAUAUUUUUACUUGGUUCCGAAGCUCUUGAUGAAACGGUUGGUGGUUUGAAAAUUCAAUUACCACCAAAAACAAAUUUUUCAUCAAGUACUGUUGGUGCUGAAUUACUUGGUCAAGCUGUUGAUGAAUUAUUAGCACCAAAUGAUAAAAUAACGCUUGUUGAAAUUGGUUGUGGUCUUGGCUUAAUAUGUCUCAUGAUUGCAUCAAAAUGUGAAAAAGUCAUAGGAUACGAUUCAUUAUCAGAAAUUGAAGAAGCUGAAAUAACAUCUGAAUUAAAUAAAAUAAAAAAUGCAAAAUUUAUAACUGGACCAUCAAAUGAAGCAAUUGGUAGAAUAGCAACGUCAAUGAGAAAUUGUAAAUCAUCAGCAAUUGUUAAUGCAAAUACAAAAGUUGGAAGGGACAUUGAAAUAUUGAUGGGAUUACGUAAAAUAUCAACAUUACGUAAAGUCGUUAUGAUAACAACAAUGGCCAAACAAUCAAUACGUGCAAUAAUGGAAUUAAUAAAACCAGCAGACGAUGUUCACGGAAAUCCAUUUAUACCAAUACGUGCAUUAAUUGUUGAUACAAUGCCUAACGGACAAUUUUUCGAAGUUGCAAUAUUGAUGGAACGUCGUAUUAUGCAUAAACUAUUACGCCCCUUUAAUGAUCAAUCAAGUUCAACAAAAUCAAUUGAAAAUUUUUCAUCAGAAAAAAAUAUUCAGACAUCUGAAAAAUCAUUAAUUUUACCAAAAAUAGGUAAAUUUAAUAAUAAAGAUGAUAACAAAAAAAUCAAUGAUGAUAAUAAAAAGAAAAUUGUUGAUAAAUCAAUAUCGACUAAAACUGCUAAAGAUGACAUUGUUGAAAUAACAAAACUUGUUAAAAAUCCAUUUCACCAUGAUAGAUAUAAUAUUAAAAAUUGUGAUUUUACUGCUAAUAAUAAAAUAAAUCAACAAAAAAAUCUAACAAAUCGAACGAUACGAUCGAGAAAAAGAUCACGGAUUGAUUCACAUCGCUCAUUAUCACCAAAAAAACAUAGAAAUAAAUGCAUUAAUAAUAAAACAACGAAACAUAAUGACCCAUCAUCAACAUCAACAACAAAUCUAUCCCAUAAACGGGGUAAUAAUUCAGACUUACGUUCACGUUUGUCAAAUAACAUACAUAUUGAUGAUGAUUUAAUACAAACAUUUCAAAUACAGAAACAGAUACUUGAAAAUACAAUUGAAGAAUUAAAAAACCCAGUUAUUAAUCAAGAUGAUUUAAAUAAUAUAGCUAUUGAUAAAAUUAAUAAAGUACAAUUGCAACUAUCACGUUCCGUGUGGGAUCGUAUUGCACCACCAGAUAAUAUAACUAAUAUCGAUUUUAAUAAUACAACAUUAAAAGGUAGCAUCGUACAUGAAAAAAGUAAUAAAAAUUUCGUUAUUAUGACACCAAAUCACCAAUUUUUAGAAUCACGUAAUAAUUAUAAAAAAUAUAAUAAUAUACAAAUUGCGGAACCAAAUCAAGUAAUGCCAAAUGAGCGUUAUUUGGUUUUGAAUGAAACACGUGAUAAUGAUCAUUAUCGAUAUCAAAGUAAUAAACAACAAACCGAUGAAAAAACUCCCGAUAAUUGGCCAUUAUCAGUUGGUGUAUCACGUAAACCAGCAUCACCAAGUUGGAUUGAUACUCAUUUAUCACCAUCAAAACGUCGAAUUUUAUCCCCACUCCAUCGUUCAGUAGUUUCCUCUUCUAGCCGACCAGUUGUUUUAGCACGUUGUCGAAAAGUUUCACCACCGAGUCGUUCUAUUAUGACACAACCAAGACGUUCAUUAUUGUCACCGCCACAUCCUCGGGUACCAUCGCCCUCAUCACGACGACUAAUGUCACUGCAUAGAAGACACUAUUCACGUGAAAGGUUUUACCAACAACUGUCUUUAUCAUCGUCAACAUCAUCGUUUCGUCCAUUAUGUGUUGAUGAUAUGCAAAAAAAAGUAACACUUUCACGGCUUAAUUCAUCACCACCAAGAAAACAAUCAUGUCAACGUCUUUCAAACUCAAAUACACGUCAGAAUUAUGAAAAUACAAUGCAAACUAGUGGCCAAGCAUUAAAACCGUUAAUACAACAAAGAAGAUUAUCAUCAUCGCCAGUGGAAUUGAUUGAUGAUUGGGAUAUACCAAGUCGAGGUGCUAUUGAAAAACAUGAUGAUUGGCAAAAACAAAAGUGUCCACAAUCAAUGUUAAAUUGGGAUAGAACAAAACGGAUUGAUUUAAAUAAUUUUCGUAAUGAUGAUUUACGGAUUAAUAAAAAUCAAGCUAAUGUUGUAAAUGAUAAACUAGUAUCAUCAAAUAUGUUUGAUAACCGAUGGAAUGAUCCUGUACUGAAUGGAAAAAGUAGUAUUGACAGUUGGGGUGUACACGAUAACGAAUCAUUUGUUAAAUACACAAAUAAUUUACGUGAUGAUUCUUGGAUUGAAUCAAAUAAUAAUAAAUCUGAUGAUAACAGAUCGAGAUUGGAACAACAGAAUAUAUCGAGAAAUUGGAAUCAAAAUAAUGAAAGAGAAGAUUGGAAUGAUUUACCAGAAGAUGCUAGAGAUCCUUGGGCUGAUGAUGCGGUUAAUGUUGAUAAGGAUCGUUUCCAAAAUUCAACUCAACAAGCUAAUUGGUCUAGAAACAAAAACCAACAAGUUGAAUGUGCUGGCUCAUUAAAAAAUAAACAAUCAAUUCCACCAUUAAUCAACACAAAUUCAUCGCAACAAAAUUGGCACAAAAAUAGCAUGGUUAAUCAACAUUUGUUGAAAAAUUCAUGCUGGACUAGUAAUGCAAAUCAUAAUUUGGUCAAGAAAAAUUUACCAGGUAGUAUUUGGGUUCAACAUAAUACUGCUAGUACAUGGAGAAAUUUUCCACAGUAAUUUUCAACAGAUGCAACAACGUUAAAGACUGAAGACCAUUUGACGGGUUUGACCAGGAUAGCUAUUCUCGACAUAAUUAUCCCCUGUACCGGGGAUAACAUGAAAAUGCUCGAAAGCGAUAUAGUCGUUUGAUGGAAACCAUUGAAGAAGAUACAAAUAAAGCCAUAAAUUAAGGGCUCAAACUCACGACAAGCUAACUUCCGCUUGUAAAACGCACUUUAUUUAAGGGAUGUGCGAUAUCAGACGAUAUAUUGAAGGACCCGAUAUUUUUGCUCGAUAUCGACGAUAUAUUUCGAUAUGAUAAGCGUCAAAUAUCGGAUAUUCGAUAUCACUUUCGGAAUAUCGUCUCGAAAAUAUCGGUUGAUAUACCGACUGAAAAACUACUGCCCAAUAAAUUUUAAUGGCGGCUUGAAUGGCCACAGCCAAUCAAAGAUCAAAAAAUAUUCAAACGUAUUAAUUUAAUUAGCUGUGAAUUUAUGAGUUUUAAAUUGACAGUUGACAAUUGAUAAUUAAUAAUUAUUAAUAACAAAAUAAUUGGAAACUAUAAUCAGUAGUAAAAAAAUUGAGGAAUUGUGUAUUCAUUAUUGCAUAGUCAUGUUUCAAUAAAAUGUUGAUUAAUAA